GGGCCGGUCGGCGGGCGGUUCCGGCCGGCGCUGUUCCAGGCGGCGCUGGACGCGGGGGUGCCGGUGCUGCCGGUCCGGGUCCG
rnacentral:tRNA from 1 species